rnacentral:rRNA from 1 species
UAGGACGAACGCUGGCGGCGUGCUUAACACAUGCAAGUCGAACGGAAAGGCCCUGCUUUUGUGGGGUGCUCGAGUGGCGAACGGGUGAGUAACACGUGAGUAACCUGCCCUUGACUUUGGGAUAACUUCAGGAAACUGGGGCUAAUACCGGAUAGGAGCUCCUGCUGCAUGGUGGGGGUUGGAAAGUUUCGGCGGUUGGGGAUGGACUCGCGGCUUAUCAGCUUGUUGGUGGGGUAGUGGCUUACCAAGGCUUUGACGGGUAGCCGGCCUGAGAGGGUGACCGGCCACAUUGGGACUGAGAUACGGCCCAGACUCCUACGGGAGGCAGCAGUGGGGAAUAUUGCACAAUGGGCGGAAGCCUGAUGCAGCAACGCCGCGUGCGGGAUGACGGCCUUCGGGUUGUAAACCGCUUUCGCCUGUGACGAAGCGUGAGUGACGGUAAUGGGUAAAGAAGCACCGGCUAACUACGUGCCAGCAGCCGCGGUGAUACGUAGGGUGCGAGCGUUGUCCGGAUUUAUUGGGCGUAAAGGGCUCGUAGGUGGUUGAUCGCGUCGGAAGUGUAAUCUUGGGGCUUAACCCUGAGCGUGCUUUCGAUACGGGUUGACUUGAGGAAGGUAGGGGAGAAUGGAAUUCCUGGUGGAGCGGUGGAAUGCGCAGAUAUCAGGAGGAACACCAGUGGCGAAGGCGGUUCUCUGGGCCUUUCCUGACGCUGAGGAGCGAAAGCGUGGGGAGCGAACAGGCUUAGAUACCCUGGUAGUCCACGCUGUAAACGGUGGGUACUAGGUGUGGGGUCCAUUCCACGGGUUCCGUGCCGUAGCUAACGCUUUAAGUACCCCGCCUGGGGAGUACGGCCGCAAGGCUAAAACUCAAAGGAAUUGACGGGGCCCCGCACAAGCGGCGGAGCAUGCGGAUUAAUUCGAUGCAACGCGUAGAACCUUACCUGGGUUUGACAUGGAUCGGGAGUGCUCAGAGAUGGGUGUGCCUCUUUUGGGGUCGGUUCACAGGUGGUGCAUGGCUGUCGUCAGCUCGUGUCGUGAGAUGUUGGGUUAAGUCCCGCAACGAGCGCAACCCUUGUUCACUGUUGCCAGCACGUUAUGGUGGGGACUCAGUGGAGACCGCCGGGGUCAACUCGGAGGAAGGUGGGGAUGACGUCAAGUCAUCAUGCCCCUUAUGUCCAGGGCUUCACGCAUGCUACAAUGGCUGGUACAGAGAGUGGCGAGCCUGUGAGGGUGAGCGAAUCUCGGAAAGCCGGUCUCAGUUCGGAUUGGGGUCUGCAACUCGACCUCAUGAAGUCGGAGUCGCUAGUAAUCGCAGAUCAGCAACGCUGCGGUGAAUACGUUCCCGGGGCUUGUACACACCGCCCGUCAAGUCAUGAAAGUUGGUAACACCCGAAGCCGGUGGCCUAACCGUUGUGGGGGAGCCGUCGAAGGUGGGACUGGUGAU